CCUACGGGAGGCAGCAGUGGGGAAUAUUGGACAAUGGGCGAAAGCCUGAUCCAGCCAUGCCGCGUGUGUGAAGAAGGCCUUCGGGUUGUAAAGCACUUUCAGUGGGGAAGAAAGCCUUGGGGCUAAUACCCUCGAGGAAGGACAUCACCCACAGAAGAAGCACCGGCUAACUCCGUGCCAGCAGCCGCGGUAAUACGGAGGGUGCGAGCGUUAAUCGGAAUUAAUGGGCGUAAAGCGCGCGUAGGCGGUCUGAUAAGCCGGUUGUGAAAGCCCCGGGCUCAACCUGGGAACGGCAUCCGGAACUGUCAGGCUAGAGUGCAGGAGAGGAAGGUAGAAUUCCCGGUGUAGCGGUGAAAUGCGUAGAGAUCGGGAGGAAUACCAGUGGCGAAGGCGGCCUUCUGGACUGACACUGACGCUGAGGUGCGAAAGCGUGGGUAGCAAACAGGAUUAGAUACCCCAGUAGUC
rnacentral:rRNA from 1 species